UACGGGGGGGGCAAGCGUUGUUCGGAAUUACUGGGCGUAAAGGGCUCGUAGGCGGCCAACUAAGUCGGAUGUGAAAUCCCCAGGCUUAACCUGGGAACUGCAUCCGAUACUGGAUGGCUUGAAUCCGGGAGAGGGAUGCAGAAUUCCAGGUGUAGCGGUGAAAUGCGUAGAUAUCUGGAGGAGCACCGGUGGCGAAGGCGGCAUCCUGGACCGACACUGACGCUGAGGAGCGAAAGCCAGGGGAGCAAACGGG
rnacentral:rRNA from 1 species